GAGUUUGAUCGUGGCUCAGAUUGAACGCUGGCGGCAUGCCUUACACAUGCAAGUCGAACGGCAGCAUGAUCUAGCUUGCUAGAUUGAUGGCGAGUGGCGAACGGGUGAGUAAUACAUCGGAACGUGCCCUGUAGUGGGGAGUAACUAGUCGAAGAUUAGCUAAUACCGCAUACGACCUGAGGGUGAAAGUGGGGGACCGGCAAGGCCUCAUGCUAUAGGAGCGGCCGAUGUCUGAUUAGCUAGUUGGUGGGGU
rnacentral:rRNA from 1 species